rnacentral:misc_RNA from 1 species
AACUGCGAUAAGUAAUGUGAAUUGCAGAAUUCAGUGAAUCAUCGAGUCUUUGAACGCACAUUGCGCCCCCUGGCAUUCCGGGGGGCAUGCCUGUCCGAGCGUCAUUACGCACCCUCAAGCCCGGCUUGUGUGAUGGGCCCUGGCGUCUCGUUCGCGAGACGGGCCCGAAAGGCAGCGGCGGCGUCGACCCGAUGAGCCCGAGCGUAUGGGGACUUUUGUCACACGUUUGCGGUGCGGACCGGCGCCUGCUUGACUUUUCUGAUUAUCCAGGUUGACCUCGGAUCAGGUAGGGAUACCCGCUGAACUUAAGC